rnacentral:rRNA from 1 species
GACGAACGCUGGCGGCGUGCCUAAUACAUGCAAGUCGAGCGGACCACUUCGGUGGUCAGCGGCGGACGGGUGAGUAACACGUGGGCAACCUGCCUGUAAGACUGGGAUAACACCGGGAAACCGGUGCUAAUACCGGAUAAUCCUUUCCUUCACAUGAGGGAAAGCUGAAAGACGGUUUCGGCUGUCACUUACAGAUGGGCCCGCGGCGCAUUAGCUAGUUGGUGAGGUAACGGCUCACCAAGGCAACGAUGCGUAGCCGACCUGAGAGGGUGAUCGGCCACACUGGGACUGAGACACGGCCCAGACUCCUACGGGAGGCAGCAGUAGGGAAUCUUCCGCAAUGGACGAAAGUCUGACGGAGCAACGCCGCGUGAGCGAUGAAGGCCUUCGGGUCGUAAAGCUCUGUUGUCAGGGAAGAACAAGUACCGGAGUAACUGCCGGUACCUUGACGGUACCUGACCAGAAAGCCACGGCUAACUACGUGCCAGCAGCCGCAGUAACAC